ensembl:lncRNA
GUGGAUGGACAGCAGACGUCAUUUCCUUAUCGUCAUUUACUUUUCAAAUUGACGUCAUUUCCGUAUCGUCGUUCACUUUUCAAUUUUGACACGCCAUGCAGAUGUCAGUGGUGUGGUGAAUGUCAAAAAAC